AUUGAACGCUGGCGGCAGGCCUAACACAUGCAAGUCGAGCGAGAAAGGUCUUCGGACUGAGUACAGCGGCGGACGGGUGAGUAAAGCGUAGGAAUCUACCUGGUAGUGGGGGAUAACUUGGGGAAACUCAAACUAAUACCGCAUACGCCCUACGGGGAAAGCGGGGACCGUUCGGGCCUCGCGCUAUCAGAUGAGCCUGCGUAGGAUUAGCUAGUUGGUGAGGUAAAGGCUCACCAAGGCGACGAUCCUUAGCUGGUCUGAGAGGAUGAUCAGCCACACUGGGACUGAGACACGGCCCAGACUCCUACGGGAGGCAGCAGUGGGGAAUAUUGCGCAAUGGGCGAAAGCCUGACGCAGCCAUGCCGCGUGUGUGAAGAAGGCCUUAGGGUUGUAAAGCACUUUCAAUUGGGAAGAAAAGUUGGUCGUUAAUAGCGGCCAGCCUGACGUUACCUUUAGAAGAAGGACCGGCUAACUCCGUG
rnacentral:rRNA from 1 species